rnacentral:tRNA from 1 species
GCCCCCGUAGCUCAACUGGACAGAGCAACUGCCUUCUAAGCAGUAGGUUCGCCGUUCGAGACGGCG